GGAGUUGGCCAGACAGUCGCUGUUGGCGCCUUACCGCGCCGAUAGAGGAAAGUCCGGGCUCCAUAGGGCAGGGUGACGGCUAACGACCGUCCGCCGUGAGGCGAGGAACAGGGCCACAGAGACGAGUCCGUCGCAGUUUUGGCGGGGUGAAACGCGGCAACCUCCACCCGGAGCAACACCAAAUAGGCAAGCGAUGACGUGGCCCACCGAGCUUGCGGGUAGGUGGCUAGAGCGCGCGGGCAACCGCGCGUCGAGAUGAAUGACUGUCGCGGCAGCGCGAGCUGCCGACAGAACCCGGCUUAUCGGCUGACUCCCGCG
rnacentral:RNase_P_RNA from 1 species